UGAGCGUGUGAUUUACAUAACAGGGCACUGAGGCAUAGAAAGCGUGCUCUUCCAUCUACACCUCUGGUAUGGUGUGAGACAGGUCAGCACUUUGGUACUGCUGACUGAAGCUUCCAAAAGCAGAAAUAGUCUACAUCCCAAAGAGGACAUGAACACUGAAGACUUCCAGUUACAACAAGCUGAAACCAAAACAAUCAGCUUUCUUGCAUGGCACACUGAGAGACUGUUGGACCAUUGGUAGCAUUUCAUGUUCUGCAACACAGAUAAUUACAAAUCUCAGUAAUCAGUGAUUAUCAACAAAGUAUAUAGAUACAGAUUCUAUAUCUGUGGAUAUAGAAUGGAAUAAUUCAGCCUGGAAACAUCAGCAGGG
rnacentral:lncRNA from 1 species